CUAAAGAGAGAAAGACGCUUGAGAAUCUGGGUUGUUGCAGGAAUUUAAAGUGAUAAUUUAUAUGAAAGUGAAAAAAAAAAAAGAAAAAAUAAAUAAAUCAAAAGACAUCAAAGAGCUCACUUUAGUGGCUGGCUUGGGUGCAAACAGGGCAGUAAGUCAUAGCAUUCAGAGUAUUAAUGUCAGCUUUCUCUUCUGGAUUAGACUGCAUUUCAUUCAAUGUGUAUAUUUUAUAUGUUUCUCUCCUGAGUAGUUCUUUGAUGAAAUUUCAAGUAUGUAAUUAACAGAGUAACACGGAGUAUUAGCAUACAAAUCAGCAUACAUAUCAGCAUACAAAAUCAUGUUGCAUAUUAAAAUAGCACUUACUGUACAAUUAAUUUCUAUUUCACUAAAAUUUUACUGUUGUAUUUUUGGUAAUUAUUUCCUUGUAUUCAUUUCUUUUUCUUGCUGCAUUGCUGAUUCCAAGGAGUGAGUCAAUCAGUUUUUUUAAACCUUUACCUACUUUCUGGUUCUUAACAAAUUUUCUGUGUUUUGCUGUAUAUAGUGGUGUGUAGCAUGUAUGAGUUUCAUUCUUUUUCAAUUUUUUUAUUUAUUUAUUUUAUUUAUUUAUUUAUUUUGUGCAGAUGAAAACAAUGAAGAGAACUAACCCUAAAAUGGAGUGAUGAAGAAUCCCAGUCUGAUACAUCAACAUUUAUUUUAACUCACUGAAUCUGAUCCAUCUGUCACUUGUUCACCCAUCACACAAGGUUUUGUCUAGCCAUUACCCUCUUCCUAUCACUACACUCCCUGACAGAGUCCCUUUCCAACUGUACUGAAAAAACACUUGUUUCUGUUUUGUUUGUUUGUUUUUUGAAACACUGGCAAAUUCUGCACAUUGAUAUUAAAUCUUAUUCUGUUUUAUCAGAAAUGAUUCAGUGCAAAAGUUUUCUGUGGUUUUUUUUCCCCUCUUCUUUGGUGUUUAGCUUUCUAAAAUUAAGUUUUCAUUCCUGACUUGCUGUAUAAAAGGCUGUCUCAAGAGUAGACUGAGUAUCUUGCUGUAAUAGCAGCUCUUCAGUUAAAUAUAUCUAUUCUGCAUUGUGUCUACCAGUCCAUGUUGCAUUGGAUAUCCAAACUUGCCACUGAGUGUUUGAAAUCAUAUUCAAUAAUAAAGCACUAACAUUGAAAACUAGUAUCUGAAAC
rnacentral:lncRNA from 1 species